CGUAGGGUGCGAGCGUUAAUCGGAAUUACUGGGCGUAAAGCGUGCGCAGGCGGUUUUGUAAGCCAGAUGUGAAAUCCCCGGGCUUAACCUGGGAAUGGCAUUUGGGACUGCAAGGCUUGAGUGCGGCAGAGGAGACUGGAAUUCCUGGUGUAGCAGUGAAAUGCGUAGAUAUCAGGAGGAAUACCGAUGGCGAAGGCAGGUCUCUGGGCUGACACUGACGCUCAUGCACGAAAGCGUGGGGAGCAAACAGGAUUAGAUACCCUGGUAGUCCACGCCCUAAACGAUGUCGACUGGUUGUUGGGGGUUUGACACUCUCAGUAACGAAGCUAACGCGUGAAGUCGACCGCCUGGGAGUACGGCCGCAAGGUUA
rnacentral:rRNA from 1 species